UACGAAGGGGGCUAGCGUUGCUCGGAAUCACUGGGCGUAAAGCGCACGUAGGCGGAUCUUUAAGUCAGGGGUGAAAUCCUGGAGCUCAACUCCAGAACUGCCUUUGAUACUGGGGAUCUCGAGUCCGGGAGAGGUGAGUGGAACUCCGAGUGUAGAGGUGAAAUUCGUAGAUAUCCGGAGGAACACCGGUGGCGAAGGCGGCUUCCUGGACCGACACUGACGCUGAGGCGCGAAAGCUAGGGGAGCAAACGGG
rnacentral:rRNA from 1 species